CUUUAAAGAAUUUUUUAAAUUUUUAUUAAAAUUAAUUUUUGAUUUUUCAAUUGUUUAAAUGUCUAACAAACUUUUUAGAAAAUAGUUCACCUUUUUUAAUAAUAUUUUAAGACCCUGAAGAUGAGGCAAGUAAGACCUCGAAAUAUAUAGGCCAAAAAUAAAUAACUUUCUAAAAUACAAAGAUGCGUUUUUAAUUUAAUAUGAACUUAAAGAAGCAAAACAAAGAAGUCGAACGACAUAUCGUGCGGCUAAAAUCGACU